rnacentral:rRNA from 1 species
UACGGGGGGGGCAAGCGUUGUUCGGAUUUACUGGGCGUAAAGGGCGCGUAGGCGGCGUGACAAGUCACUUGUGAAAUCUCCGGGCUUAACCCGGAGCGGUCAAGUGAUACUGUCGUGCUAGAGUGCGGAAGGGGCAACUGGAAUUCUCGGUGUAGCGGUGAAAUGCGUAGAUAUCGAGAGGAACACCUGCGGCGAAGGCGGGUUGCUGGGCUGACACUGACGCUGAGGCGCGAAAGCUAGGGGAGCGAACGGG